rnacentral:rRNA from 1 species
GACGAACGCUGGCGGCGUGCCUAAUACAUGCAAGUAGAACGCUCAAGAGAGGAGCUUGCUCUUCUUAGGUGAGCUGCGAACGGGUGAGUAACGCGUAGGUAACCUGCCUUUUAGCCGGGGAUAACUAUGGGAAACGGUAGCUAAUACCGCAUAACAUUGGAUACCACAUGUCUUUUAUGUGAAAGAGGGAAUUGUUGCACCACAUGAUGGACCCGCGUUGUAUUAGCUAGUAGGUUAGGUAAUGGCCUACCUAGGCGACGAUACCUAGCCGGACUGAGGAGGUGAACGGCCCCACUGGGACUGAGGCACGGCCCCGGCUUCUACGGGAGGGAACAGUAGGGAAUCUUCCGGCAAGGGGGGAACCCUGGACGAGGAACGCCGCGUGAGGGAAGAAGGUUCUCGGAUCGUAAAGCUUCGUUGUUAGUCAAGAACGGAUGUGGGAGGGGACAGUUCACACUGUGACGGUAGCUUAUCAGAAAGGGACGGCUAACUACGUG